GGUGUAUAGCUUAGUGGUAGAGUGCUUGCUUCAUAUGCAUGCGACCCUGGGUUCCAUCCCCACUACCUA
rnacentral:tRNA from 1 species